rnacentral:rRNA from 1 species
AACGAACGCUGGCGGCAUGCCUAACACAUGCAAGUCGAACGAGACCUUCGGGUCUAGUGGCGCACGGGUGCGUAACGCGUGGGAACCUGCCCUUAGGUUCGGAAUAACUCCCCGAAAGGGGUGCUAAUACCGGAUAAUGUCUUCGGACCAAAGAUUUAUCGCCUUUGUAGGGGCCCGCGUUGGAUUAGCUAGUUGGUAGGGUAAAAGCCUACCAAGGCGACGAUCCAUAGCUGGUCUGAGAGGAUGAUCAGCCACACUGGGACUGAGACACGGCCCAGACUCCUACGGGAGGCAGCAGUGGGGAAUAUUGGACAAUGGGCGAAAGCCUGAUCCAGCAAUGCCGCGUGAGUGAUGAAGGCCUUAGGGUUGUAAAGCUCUUUUACCCGGGAUGAUAAUGACAGUACCGGGAGAAUAAGCACCGGCUAACUCCGUG